ACAUAUGACACCAGUGAUCCAAGUUAUGGUCUAUUCUGGUACAAGCAGCCCAGCAGUGGGGAAAUGAUUUUUCUUAUUUAUCAGGGGUCUUAUGACCAGCAAAAUGCAACAGAAGGUCGCUACUCAUUGAAUUUCCAGAAGGCAAGAAAAUCCGCCAACCUUGUCAUCUCCGCUUCACAACUGGGGGACUCAGCAAUGUACUUCUACCAUCUGAUUGUGUGUUUUCUGGUGGCUACAAUAAGCUGAUUUUUGGAGCAGGGACCAGGCUGGCUGUACACCCAUUAUCCAGAACCCUGACCCUGCCGUGUACCAGCUGAGAGAC
rnacentral:lncRNA from 1 species